GAAAAUAUACCAUGAGCAUANNGGACAUGACCCGAAAGAUGGUGAACUAUNCNUGAUCAGGUUGAAGUCAGGGGAAACCCUGAUGGAGGACCGAAGCAAUUCUGACGUGCAAAUCGAU
rnacentral:rRNA from 1 species